UACGUAGGGUGCGAGCGUUGUCCGGAAUUACUGGGCGUAAAGAGCUCGUAGGUGGUUUGUCGCGUUGUUCGUGAAAACCGGGGGCUUAACCCUCGGCGUGCGGGCGAUACGGGCAGACUGGAGUUCGGCAGGGGAGACUGGAAUUCCUGGUGUAGCGGUGAAAUGCGCAGAUAUCAGGAGGAACACCGGUGGCGAAGGCGGGUCUCUGGGCCGAUACUGACGCUGAGGAGCGAAAGCGUGGGGAGCGAACAGG
rnacentral:rRNA from 1 species